UAACGAGCGCAACCCCUACCUUUAGUUGCCAUCAGGUUAAGCUGGGGACUCUAAAGGAACUGCCUACGCAAGUAGUGAGGAAGGCGGGGAGUGACGUCAAAUCAGCACGGCCCUUACGUCCAGGGCUACACACGUGCUACAAUGGCCGAUACAGAGGGCAGCUACCUGGUGACAGGAUGCAAAUCUCCAAAGUCGGUCUCAGUUCGGAUCGGAGUCUGCAACCCGACUCCGUGAAGUUGGAUUCGCUAGUAAUCGCGCAUCAGCCAUGGCGCGGUGAAUACGUUCCCGGGCCUU
rnacentral:rRNA from 1 species